UGUGUAUGUCUUUUAUCCACAAACUCGAGUUAUGAUUAGGUGAAAGAAUAAUCUAACAUAUGUACUAAUGUGGACUAUAUCUGUUUUUCAGGUGAUGGGGGUUACGGCUGCUACUCUUGGCUCCUUACUCCAUUGUCCCAACCUGAUUCUCCUGCUGAACACAGUUACAAUCAUGCACAUAAGGCUACGCGGAAUGUGAUAGAAAGAUGUUUUGGUGUGCUGAAGUCACGGUUUCGGUGUCUGGAUAAAUCUGCUGGCCUUUUGUUGUAUAGUCCCUCAAAGAUAACUGAGGGGAUCGGGGCUCAUCACUCUGCGAACUCGCCAAUAGUGCCAGUGGUGGCUGGGGUGACACUGCCGAAAGUCGUCGCCUGGGUGGGGAUGAUGGAGCCGCAGAUUCCGAGCCAAGACGCCGUGUCUUACUUGGCCUCCUGGAAUAUGUGACUACACUGAAGUCUUACCUGCAAUCCCAG